UGGGAAUUUGGACAAUGGGCGAAAGCCUGAUCCAGCAAUGCCGCGUGUGUGAAGAAGGCCUUCGGGUUGUAAAGCACUUUUGUCCGGAAAGAAAUCCUUGGCUCUAAUACAGUCGGGGGAUGACGGUACCGGAAGAAUAAGCACCGGCUAACUACGUGCCAGCAGCCGCGGUAAUACGUAGGGUGCAAGCGUUAAUCGGAAUUACUGGGCGUAAAGCGUGCGCAGGCGGUUUGCUAAGACCGAUGUGAAAUCCCCGGGCUCAACCUGGGAACUGCAUUGGUGACUGGCAGGCUAGAGUAUGGCAGAGGGGGGUAGAAUUCCACGUGUAGCAGUGAAAUGCGUAGAGAUGUGGAGGAAUACCGAUGGCGAAGGCAGCCCCCUGGGCAAUACUGACGCUCAUGCACGAAAAGCGUGGGGAGCAAACAGGAUUAGAUACCCUGGUAGUCCACGCCCUAAACGAUGUCAACUAGUUGUUGGGGAUUCAUUUCCUUAGUAACGUAGCUAACGCGUGAAGUUGACCGCCUGGGGAGUACGGUCGCAAGAUUAAAACUCAAAGGAAUUGACGGGGUCAUAGCUGUUUCCU
rnacentral:rRNA from 1 species